UUUGGAAACAAUUGCUAAGACUGGAUAGGAAAUUAGAAGGCAUCUUUUAAAUUUUUAAAAGACCUUUUUCGAAAGGUAUACUUAAAGAGGGGCUUGCGGCACAUUAGUUAGUUGGUAGGGUAAAAGCCUACCAAGACCAUGAUGUGUAGCUGGACUGAGAGGUUGAACAGCCACAUUGGGACUGAGACACGGCCCAAACUCCUACGGGAGGCAGCAGUAGGGAAUUUUCGGCAAUGGAGGAAACUCUGACCGAGCAACGCCGCGUGAACGAUGAAGUAUUUCGGUAUGUAAAGUUCUUUUAUUGGAGAAGAAAAAAUAGUGGAAAAACUAUCUUGACGAUAUUCAAUGAAUAGCCGCCGGCAAACUAUGUGCCAGCAGCCGCGGUAAUACAUAGGGGGCGAGCGUUAUCCGGAAUUAUUGGGCGUAAAGGGUGCGUAGGCGGUUUGGUAAGUCUAUAGUUUAAUUUCAGUGCUUAACACUGUUCUGCUAUAGAAACUAUCAGACUAGAGUGAGAUAGAGGCAAGUGGAAUUCCAUGUGUAGCGGUAAAAUGCGUAAAUAUAUGGAGGAACACCAGAGGCGUAGGCGGCUUGCUGGGUCUUUACUGACGCUGAGGCACGAAAGCGUGGGGAGCAAACAGGAUUAGAUACCCUGGUAGUCCACGCCGUAAACGAUGAGUACUAAAGUGUCGGGGAAACUCGGUACUGAAGUUAACACAUAAAUACUCCGCCUGAGUAGUACGUACGCAGGUAUGAAACUUAUAAGAAUUGACGGGACUCCGCACAAGCGGUGGAUCAUGUUGUUUAAUUCGAAGAUACACGAAAAACCUUACCAGGUCUUGACAUACUCUGCAAAGCUAUAGCAAUAUAGCGGAGGUUAUCAGGGAUACAGGUGGUGCAUGGUUGUCGUCAGCUCGUGUCGUGAGAUGUUAGGUUAAGUCCUAAAACGAGCGCAACCCUUGUCACUAGUUGCCAGCAUGUUAUGAUAGGCACUUUAGUGAGACUGCCAAUGAAAAAUUGGAGGAAGGUGAGGAUCACGUCAAAUCAUCAUGCCCCUUAUGAUCUGGGCUACAAACGUGAUACAAUGGCUGUUACAAAGAGUAGCUAAAACGCGAGUUUAUAGCCAAUCUCAUAAAAGCAGUCUCAGUUCGGAUUGAAGUCUGCAACUCGACUUCAUGAAGUUGGAAUCGCUGUAAUCGCGAAUCAGCAUGUUCGGGUGAAUACGUUCUCGGGGUUUGUACACACCGCCCGUCGAAA
rnacentral:rRNA from 1 species